rnacentral:lncRNA from 1 species
GGAUACUUUAUUGUCGCCGGACGAGCCAACCAACCGCUGCUCCUUUUUUUGUGUUCUUCCUUCGUCUUUUUUAGUCGGCUGACUAAAUAGACCUUGCUCAUCUACCUUAAUUAUCCAUCACUAGCCUGCCGAUUUUCUAGUUUCCAGAUCGGCUUCUCCCGUCAGAGGAGUCGAAUAUCUAAAUAUUUAUUUCUCCGAUCAACGGUGGAGAAACCGUCGAUUGUACCUAUCUAGUGUGUUUUCCCCUUUUUUCUCGCGGAUCCCAUAUUUUUUAAAAUUUUGAAAUUAUUUUAAGAAAUUAAAUCGGGACUGGUGGGUGGCAGGACCGAAAUGCCCUCAAAUGUACUUUCUCCGUUUCUCCAAAAGUCGAGGUCAGCAUUUUAGUAGAGUCAAAUAGAAUGGGUGGUUUGGGAGUUAAAGAAAGGGGUCAGGUGAGCAAAUUGUGAGGGUGGCUCACGUUUUCUUUUCUAGCCUCUUUUGUGACUGGGUUUUGGUUCAUCAUCCUCUCGCUGUUAAUACGGGGUAGGGGUCGUUUAAAUUCCAUAAUGUAUUUAAUUUGUAUUGAAUGGACGAAAGCACCCUUGGCAUUUUUUUAGUGUUAGAAUCGGAGUGGUGAUAUGUACGCUUCAGGAGUAAAAGGACAAGUUUGUCAGAUGGGAAAUGUAGAUUCGAUUAUUUUUAAUUUUACUUUUGUUCUUCCUUCUCCUUUCUCUACCCAUAUAGUAAACCACGAAGUUUCGAGCAUUGGAUGUUUCUUUUUGAAAAAUUGAUGUUUUAUUGGGUGAAGUGGAGCCCAGUCGGUGGGUUUUGCUUCGCCGGGUGGUUAAUAAUUUGUUUUGUGCUGGAGGGGGAUAGGUGUUGUGGGUUCUCAGAGUGGGAUGCGAAUGGGGCAUUUUAUUCUUUUUGUUAAUAUUAUUUAAUUUGAUUGGAUUUUUGUAUUUUUGGGUGGAUCUGUAUGAGCAUUUAUUUAUUAGAAAUUGAAAGACAGAGGAAGGGUUAUUAUGAAUUUACUUUAUUUAUUUAUUUAUGGAUAUUAAGAAGUAGUAC